CUACGGGUUGCUCCAGUGGGGAAUAUUGCACAAUGGGCGCAAGCCUGAUGCAGCAACGCCGCGUGAGGGAUGAAGGCCUUCGGGUUGUAAACCUCUUUUAGCAGGGAAGAAGCGAAAGUGACGGUACCUGCAGAAAAAGCACCGGCUAACUACGUGCCAGCAGCCGCGGUAAUACGUAGGGUGCAAGCGUUGUCCGGAAUUAUUGGGCGUAAAGAGCUCGUAGGCGGUUUGUCACGUCUGCUGUGAAAAUCCAAGGCUCAACCUGGGACUUGCAGUGGGUACGGGCAGGCUAGAGUGCGGUAGGGGAGAUGGGAAUUCCUGGUGUAGCGGUGGCAUGCGCAGAUAUCAGGAGGAACACCAAUGGCGAAGGCACAUCUCUGGGCCGUAACUGACGCUGAGGAGCGAAAGCGUGGGGAGCGAACAGGAUUAGAUACCCCGGUAGUC
rnacentral:rRNA from 1 species